UCUGUCCUAGAAGCAUUGCAGGUGUGGCUGCUGUGUCACAUGUGCAACAGUAGGUGGUAGAUAGAAGAGAGGUCAUGUAUGUGCUCAGUUUUCUGACUUAUAAAUACCUGAAUGACUAGUAGUCUAACAUU
ensembl:snoRNA Gm23768 small nucleolar RNA SNORA17